rnacentral:rRNA from 1 species
ACCAGACUCCUACGGGAGGCAGCAGUGGGGGAUAUUGCACAAUGGGGGGAACCCUGAUGCAGCGACGCCGCGUGGGUGAAGAAGCGCCUCGGCGCGUAAAGCCCUGUCAGCAGGGAAGAAAAUGACGGUACCUGAAGAAGAAGCCCCGGCUAACUACGUGCCAGCAGCCGCGGUAAUACGUAGGGGGCAAGCGUUAUCCGGAUUUACUGGGUGUAAAGGGGGCGCAGACGGCGAUGCAAGCCAGGAGUGAAAGCCCGGGGCCCAACCCCGGGACUGCUCUUGGAACUGCGUGGCUGGAGUGCAGGAGGGGCAGGCGGAAUUCCUGGUGUAGCGGUGAAAUGCGUAGAUAUCAGGAGGAACACCGGCGGCGAAGGCGGCCUGCUGGACCGUGACUGACGUUGAGGCUCGAGAGCGUGGGGAGCAAACAGGAUUAGAUACCCCUGUAA